CUGCUGCGGGCAGAUGAAAUGGAUGUGCGCGUCGACGCCCCCGGCCGUGACGAUGUGGCCCUCGCCGGCGAUGACCUCCGUCGUCACGCCGACGAUCAUGCCCGGCGUGACGCCGGCCAUCACCCUCGGGUUGCCGGCCUUGCCGAUCGCCGCGAUGCGGCCACGCUUGAUGCCGAUGUCGGCCUUGUAGACGCCGGUCCAGUCGACGAUGAGCGCGUUCGUGAUGACGCAGUCGAGCGCCUCGUCGUUCGAGGCGCCGGGCAUCUGCCCCAUGC
rnacentral:sRNA from 1 species